UACCCAGCAACUCCUAUCCCUACCUCCUCGUGGUACCGGCCGGAAACUACGAGCAACCUUAGGGAAGAUCGGGUAACCAACCCACUGGAAACUUUGGUCGUAGGCUGACAGGGAAGA
rnacentral:ribozyme from 1 species